rnacentral:rRNA from 1 species
GUCUACAGCCAUACCACCCCAAACGCACCCGAUCUCAUCUGAUCUCGGAAGCUAAGCUGGGUCGGGCCUGGUUAGUACUUGGAUAGGAGAAAACAUUCAAAUCUACAAGAAAAGUGAUAUUGUAGACA